rnacentral:lncRNA from 1 species
UCAGACUAAAUUAUGCUCCCCACAAGCUUGUGUUCCUGCUGAGAUUCUCAAAACUCUGGUGAACAAGUUUGUCUCCAACGGCGGCAUCCAAUCAAGCUCAAACAGUGUAAAAAGGUGUUGGGGAAGCAUAUUUCACUCAGCUGUCAUCUCUUUAGCAAAUAAAAUUCCCAGAGAGCUGUCUGGAGUUUUAUGGAGAAGCCAUUUGCCAAUGAUAAGUGCCUUGGCUGUGGGAAAAAUUUUACCAGCAUGUAACAACUAUAAGGGCUAAGGAUGAAAGUAAUUGCUUACAAAACAGCUCCACAAAAUGAAAUAAAGAUAUUUGUUUCAACUCAGUGAGCAUAAACUGCCUCUUGAAGGAACAAUCUUCGAUUUUGUUUGCUUCUUUCUGGUUAAUGAAAAACCAGAUACGCUUGAUUUUCAAUAUGUGGGCAAUGACUAUAAAUACUAUGGUCCCUUGAAGCAAAUCUUUGCUCUCUGUGUUUCAGCCCAGAAAUUGACGGGGAAUGCAAAGAUACUGCACAUUUUCUUACAGGCAGUUGCAAGUCCUUUAGAAAAUAGGUUUAUCAUUAAAUAUUCCUGGUGCCUCUCCUCCCCAAAACUACCUUGUACUCCAGCAUGGAGUGCUCCAGUGGCGUGAGUACCUGUGUAACAGAUCCUUUAUGUUUCCCACAGCUCAAUCCUGCAUGCAAAUGUGGUCUAUAACAUACAGGUGCAUCUGCUAAGACACAGCAGGUGCUGAAAGAGGUGAAGGAGGAAACGCAUAGAGUUUUCUAAUCAAGGCUCGCACAGGUGCCCCAUAUAGACUUGGAUGUCCCAGCAUCAAUGGAAAGAGAAAAAUCUGCUCCUGUAAGCCCUGGGUGAAGGUCAAGGGAAGCCAGCUGGGAUGGCUAGGAUGCUUUGAGUGGGCUGGCAGGUCAGGAAGUGCACUUGGGCUUCUGCUGACAGAUUUUGGCUGGUGCUAGAAACAUAAGAUGGGGAGGCGGCGGCAGCAGCGGGCAGGAACAUUUGACCAAGCACAGCAUUUACUGCUUUGAAACAAAAUAUGGGAGAGGAGCUUCAGACAGGCAGGAUCUCCCCCUCUCUCUCCCCCCUGCUCUGGACUUUGUGCUGUUGGGUUGGUUUGCAACCAAGAGAAACACCACAUGGAAGGCCACCUUCGGAGCAUCUCCAUCCCACAUGAAAGUGGUGCACAUCCAAAGGCAGCACAGGGCAACCCACUUGCAUGAGACUGCGAGCCUGAUAUUUAUUGGGAAGGCUUUGGCCAUACAGAGAGCUCUCUACAACCAGAGAUGCCUGCAGUGAAUGUGGCUUUGAAGGGGUGGGAGUUUUCCAAGCUGCUGGGCAUUGGCCUGACACUGCUCCCAGGAAUGUCAGCUGGAAUUUCACACCUGACUCCACUGGAACCAGGGUCAAGCCAAUGCUUCGUGCUUCCCAAACUCU